GAUGAAGAACGUAGCGAAAUGCGAUACGUAAUGUGAAUUGCAGAUUUCAGUGAAUCAUCGAAUCUUUGAACGCACAUUGCGCCCGCCAGUAUUCUGGCGGGCAUGCCUGUUCGAGCGUCAUUUCAACCAUCAAGCGCCUCGCUUGUGUUGGGGCCCUGCGGCUGCCGCAGGCUCCUAAAUCCAGUGGCGGGCUCGUCGUGGUACCGAGUGCAGUAAACAUCCUCGCUCAGGGAACCCGACGGGUGCCGGCCGUGAAACCCCCCCACUUUAAGGUUGACCUCGGAUCAGGUAGGAAUACCCGCUGAACUUAAGCAUAUCAAUAAGCGGAGGA
rnacentral:misc_RNA from 1 species